AUGUUCGGGUCCUCAGACUCCGCCCUUGUGUCAGCUUUCAAUCUUUGUUUCUGUGUAAUUGGAAUAAAGACGCAACGCCUCCGCUUCAGGACCAUAAAGCUCGGCUUCAGGUGGACUCGUCAUGAGCAGCGGGUUCAGACCUGCGUCCGUGAAGAGAUGGAGGCGCAGGUCCGAGCUCUGCUCCUGCUUCUAGUUUUAACCCCAUCUACUGCUGAGAAGAACCUGACAGGAACUGUGGGAGGAAGCAUCACUCUGCCUGAACCUGUGCUGGAGCUGGGGUUCAUUAUAUAUGGAACAAAGACUGUAGCCAUUGUGGUUGAUGGGAAAAUGAAGAUAGUAGAGAAAAUGUAUCAGAACAAGCUUCUGUGGAGCGACAGAACUGGAUGCUUCACAAUAACAGACCUGCAGAAAAACGACUCAGGGAUUUAUGCUGUUGACCGUAAAGAAAGUGGUGUCAGCACAGCUUAUAAACUCAGCGUGUUUGACUCCGUCUCGGCUCCGACAGUGAACAGACUUGGCUCCGACAGCUGCGUCCUGCUGUGUGAGGUGGUCAACGCUGAGGAGACCACUCUGCUGUGGUACAAAGAUGACGAGGUGGUGAAGCAGAACAGCUCGGCUCCGUCUCUGUCGCUCACUGUACACGAGCAGGACUACAGAUCCUCCUACAGAUGUGUGGCUGCCAACCCCGCUGAACACAAGGCUGAACCAGUCAACCUGGAAGAGACCUGUGGACCCACCUACACAGGAAGGAACCAGGAGAAGCCGGAGGAUCGGAGUCGAGUCAUUGGCAUUGUUGUCUCCAUUGUGUCUGUGGUCGUCAUUGCGAUUGUUGGUAUCAUGAUUAAGAAGCGUUACCACAACCAGAAACCCACAGCAGCACAAGGUCCAGACAACGUGGAAACAGAGGUCCAGUACACUGAUGUACAUUUCUAUGACGACACACGCGGUCAGCAGAGAGAAAAUGUCCCAGAACCCUCAGGAAACCACGGCCGCACCCAGCUGGAAACGGUCUAUGAUAAACUGGAGGUUCACCGCUUGGUCCAACAUUCAGACCGUGGUUAG
rnacentral:lncRNA from 1 species